rnacentral:rRNA from 1 species
AUUGAACGCUGGCGGCAUGCCUUACACAUGCAAGUCGAACGGCAGCACGGGAGCAAUCCUGGUGGCGAGUGGCGAACGGGUGAGUAAUAUAUCGGAACGUGCCCAGUCGUGGGGAUAACGUAGCGAAAGCUACGCUAAUACCGCAUACGAUCUAUGGAUGAAAGCGGGGGAUCGCAAGACCUCGCGCGAUUGGAGCGGCCGAUAUCAGAUUAGGUAGUUGGUGGGGUAAAGGCUCACCAAGCCAACGAUCUGUAGCUGGUCUGAGAGGACGACCAGCCACACUGGAACUGAGACACGGUCCAGACUCCUACGGGAGGCAGCAGUGGGGAAUUUUGGACAAUGGACGCAAGUCUGAUCCAGCCAUUCCGCGUGCAGGAUGAAGGCCCUCGGGUUGUAAACUGCUUUGUAC